rnacentral:misc_RNA from 1 species
CAACCCUUAAGCCUAGCUUAGUGUUGGGAAUCUACUUCUUUAUAGUUGUAGUUCCUGAAAUACAACGGCGGAUUUGUAGUAUCCUCUGAGCGUAGUAAUUUUUUCUCGCUUUUGUUAGGUGCUAUAACUCCCAGCCGCUAAACCCCCAAUUUUUUGU